UAGAUUGUGAUGAAGCAAAGAAUUUAAUCCAACACUUGAUCUGAGUUAAUUAAGUGAUUGUAAACUACUUUUCUGCUCCUGAAUCUGC